rnacentral:lncRNA from 1 species
AUCCCUGCCUCCAUCCCCUGCAUCCCACCGACCCUCUCCUGGGAUCCCUGCAUCCAUCCCUGCUUCCAUCCCCUGCAUCCAUCCCUGCAUCCAUCCCUGCAUCCAUCCCUGCAUCCAUCCAUCCCUGCAUCCAUCCCUGCAUCCAUCCCUGCAUCCAUCCCUGCAUCCAUCCAUCCCUGCAUCCAUCCCUGCAUCCAUCCCUGCAUCCAUCCCUGCCUCCAUCCCCUGCAUCCCACCGACCCUCUCCUGGGAUCCCUGCAUCCAUCCCUGCAUCCCACCGACCCUCUCCUGGGAUCCCUGCAUCCAUCCCUGCAUCCCACCGACCCUCUCCCGGGAUCCCUGCAUCCAUCCCUGCCUCCAUCCCCUGCCUCCAUCCCCUGCAUCCCACCGACCCUCUCCUGGGAUCCCUGCAUCCGUCCCCUGCCUCCAUCCCCUGCAUCCAUCCCCUGCAUCCCACCGACCCUCUCCUGGGAUCCCUGCAUCCAUCCUUGCAUCCCACCGACCCUCUCCUGGGAUCCCUGCAUCCAUCCCCUGCAUCCAUCCCUGCAUCUCACCGACCCUCUCCUGGGAUCCCUGCAUCCAUCCGUCCAUCCAUCCAUCCCUGCCUCCAUCCCUGCCUCCAUCCCCUGCAUCCAUCCCCUGCAUCCCACCGACCCUCUCCCGGGAUCCCUGCAUCCAUCCCUCCAUCCAUCCAUCCCACCGAUCCUCUCCCGUGAUCCCUGCAUCCAUCCCUGCAUCCCACCGACCCUCUCCCUGCAUCCGUAUGCAUGCAAGAUUCUGCUACCUCAAACACAUCCAGCCCCAUCAUCCUGAAAACAGGGCAAGAGUUGUUUCAGGAUCAUUACACACUAGAUUGGAUCCAUUGUUUCAGGAUCAUUACCUACUGGAUUGUUCUGAAUUUGCAUUAUCACAGUGAGAAACUUUGCAAAAGUUUGCUAAAAGUGUUAUAGUGCAUGAAAGUUGCUAUAAUAUUUAACAGAAAAGACAUGUGUUUUUGAAUUGCUUUCACAAUAAAGGGAAAAUAAAAAG